AACUUCAAAAAAAACUUAAAAAUUGAAUUAUAUAUAUAGUGGAACAUCGAAUUUUAAUGUAAAACACCUUGAAGGAUUUAUUAAAGAAAUCCAUUUUUAUACAAUGUAGAUUUAUAAUAAAUGAAAACAAAACCAAAACAAAUACAUAAUAACACUAAAUGUAGGAUAAAAAAUAAAAAUCAAACCACCAAAAGAUCCAGAGGUUAGUUAAAAUGUAUACAGGAAAAGCGCUAUUUAUUUAUAUUUAUUUAUCGAGGGACAUCUACCGGCCUUCGGUAAUAAUUUACCUAGGGCUCUUGAACCUUUGGUAAUCUCCAUGAUCCUUUUAACUAAAUAUUUUGGGUUUGUUUCCCAAAUCACCAAAAUCUGAGAAUUCCCUCUAUCACCAAUUCGCCAAAGAUCAGAAGCUCUGUUCGUUGCGCUUGCCCUAAGGCGUUGUCCUCUUAUUGUGCUUGCCCUAAGGCGAAGUUAUGUUCGUUGGUGGCUGGUUUUUUGCAGUUUGCGUGAGUACGGUGGGUGGGUUUUCCAGCAGGGUUGUGGGUCGUACUACUUAGCGUUUGCGGUAGUGGUGGUGGGUCAUCGAGGUUGUCUUGACGGCGACGUUUGGGUGAAGUGGGGUUGUUGAGUUCGUAGGGGUCGUGGUCUGCAGAUGUUGGCAUCGUCGACCCUUUUGCUUUCGAGGUAAGUUCGUAGAAGAUUUGUCCCCUGGUUUUUCUAUUUAAUGGUUCAGGAAAUGGUACGGUGGUAGGAAAAAUCAUACAAUCAUAGUGACUUCAGUUCUUCCCACUCAAUUUUCAAGCUUUGGCACUUUAGACUCAAUAAUGCGAACAUUCUCUGGUUUUUACUUGUCU
rnacentral:lncRNA from 1 species